rnacentral:lncRNA from 1 species
UCUUGCCAAGAACUCGAAACAGAAUCCUGUAGCAUUAAACCAACAAGGAAACCUCCAUGUUCGAACUCAUUCUCCGAAGUGGACAAUCUCAGAGGAGAAAAUAAGGUAAACUUUCACUACGAUUUGGAGUAAUUUUAUGUUUUUUUCUUAUGUUAAACUUCCUUCUUCCGGUCCCGAGUUUCAUGAACAUGGUACUCUUAGCCUUUGUUUUUUUUUCCAACCUGCUAUGUCCUUGUUUAGACAUUUUAAGCAUGUUCUUGGUCGGAAGAUAAUUUUGAUAUAUAUUUUCAGGUCUGGGAAAAAGGAAACAACUGAAUCAGAGACCAACACCAUCGAUCGAACUAUCGCGAACCUCACCUUCGAUAAGAUGGAUAUGAACGUUCGAGACUUUCCGGUUUGCUACACCCAACAACUCUAAGCAAAAUUGUCAUCGAAGUGACUGGAAAAGCAAACACGAG